UACGUAGGGUCCGAGCGUUGUCCGGAAUUACUGGGCGUAAAGAGCUCGUAGGUGGUUUGUCGCGUUGUUCGUGAAAACUCACAGCUCAACUGUGGGCGUGCGGGCGAUACGGGCAGACGUUGAGUACUGCAGGGGAGACUGGAAUUCCUGGUGAUAGCGGUGGAAUGCGCAGAUAUCAGGAGGAACACCUAUAGCGAAGGCAGCUUGCUGGGACGUUACUGACGCUAAGGCGCGAAAGCGUGGGGAGCGAACAGG
rnacentral:rRNA from 1 species